rnacentral:rRNA from 1 species
CCUACGGGAGGCAGCAGUGGGGAAUAUUGGACAAUGGGCGAAAGCCUGAUCCAGCAAUGCCGCGUGAGUGAUGAAGGCCUUAGGGUUGUAAAGCUCUUUUACCCGAGAUGAUAAUGACAGUAUCGGGAGAAUAAGCUCCGGCUAACUCCGUGCCAGCAGCCGCGGUAAUACGGAGGGAGCUAGCGUUGUUCGGAAUUACUGGGCGUAAAGCGCACGUAGGCGGCUUUUUAAGUCAGGGGUGAAAUCCCGGGGCUCAACCCCGGAACUGCCCUUGAAACUGGGAAGCUAGAAUCUUGGAGAGGCGAGUGGAAUUCCGAGUGUAGAGGUGAAAUUCGUAGAUAUUCGGAAGAACACCAGUGGCGAAGGCGACUCGCUGGACAAGUAUUGACGCUGAGGUGCGAAAGCGUGGGGAGCAAACAGGAUUAGAUACCCUAGUAGUCCACGCCGUAAACGAUGAUAACUAGCUGUCCGGGUUCAUGGAACUUGGGUGGCGCAGCUAACGCAUUAAGUUAUCCGCCUGGGGAGUACGGUCGCAAGAUUAAAACUCAAAAGAAUUGACGG